AACACCACUUGUUCCUGCUCGCGAGUACUAUUUCCUAAGGUACUGCAAGAAGCUCCAAGAUGGGAGAUGGGUGGUGGUCGAUGCUUCCCUGGAAACUUCACAACCAAAUGCAACAAUCCCUCCGACCCGAAGAAGGCCCUCUGGUUGCCUGAUUCAGGCAUCUCCAGAUGGUUACUCAACAAAGGUACAUACCUACUUACUUGUCAUCAUCAUUUCCUCAAAUCAAUAUGAACAUAGCUUCCAAGUUCCAACAACGAUGAGAUAAUUAAUAAUAUUCAAUUCGUUUCAGGUUACCUGGGUUGAACAUGUAGAAGUGGAUGACAGAGCACUAAUGGUGAAUAGUAUGUAUAAGCCUCUAGUUGAAUCUGGCUUAGCCUUUGGAGCUAGACGCUGGGUCGCACAAUUAGAUAGAAGAUGCGAACGUAUUGCAAGUGCAGUACAAUCCACCACCAUACUGCAACAACAAGAAGACCAACUUAGUGGUAUAUACAUAUCUAAUAUACACAUCAUUUUUAAGCUAUGAUUUGAUACUGAUGCAUGCAUGUUUAUACACAGUGACGAGUGUUGAGGGCAAAAAGGGGUUGGUGAAGCUGGCAGAGAGAAUGGUUAUGGACUUUUUAAGUGGUGUUGGUGCUUCAACAGUAGAAAAUUGGGCAAUCGUAACUCCAUCAACAAAUCACAGCAAUAUAAGAAUCAUAACCAGAAAGGUUGAGGACGAUCCAGGUAGACCUUCCGGUAUAGUUAUCGGUGCCGCAACUUGUUUCCACCUCGCAGUUCCUCCAAACAGCUUCUUUGAUAGGGUUCGAACUGCAAACGCAAGAGCAGAGGUAAGCGUGCCUCAAAUUGCAAUUAAACUUCAAUUCAACAACCUUCAAAUUUAAUUCCCCUAAACUUUGUUACAGUGGGAUGUUCUCUGUACCGGAGGUGUUGCUGAGGAAUUUGCACACAUAAAAAAUGGUCGCGACCCUGGGAACUGUAUCACAUUAUUCCGUAUCAAGGUAAUUUCGUAAUUAAUCUCAUACAGAGCCUAAGAAUUAAGCUAAUUGUUUUGAUAAAUGCGGAAUUGUAAUUGCAGAGUUCAGAUGCGAAGAACAACGGGAUGAUAAUAGUUCAAGAGAGUAGCAGCGAUUCAACAGGGUCAUUUGUGAUAUACGCACCGGUUGAUAUGAAUUCGAUCAAUGCAGUGAUUGGAGGGAGAGAUCCCGAUGAACUUCCGAUUUUGCCCUCGGGAAUGGCGAUUCUUCCAGAUGGAGGUGGAGGUUGUUUGGUGACGUUGGCAUUCCAGAUAUUGAUCGAGUCAGAU
rnacentral:lncRNA from 1 species